UUGCUGGCAGCCUUGGGUUAGAGCCACAGCCAAGCCCUUCCAUCUUCCCUCCUGCUGUGCGGUGCUGCGCUACACUGCUCUAUGUACAGCUGUAGUGAGGGGAGGUCCUGGUGCAGUGUGGGUAGGGCAUGCAGGCACAAGAGUGAAGUUAAUUUUUUUUCAAGUGCCAACAGCAGCUAUUGAGAGGAAGUAUUAAUGGAGAAGCUGGAGGAUGAGAGGAAGUGAUAUAGAAGGAAUACCUGGCAUGAUGUAUUGCAUCUGCUUAGCCUGUUCUCGCUGCUGCUCGCCUUGCAUGCACUGUGAAGCCGCGAGGAACAGACAGAAGGCCAAGAGCGCCAUGCCAGUGCCGAUCCAGGAGAGCAUGUAAGACCAGUCGUAUUGGAUGGUGGUGGCGUUCUGCAAGAUCUACCGGGAGAGAGCACGCAGGUCAAGGGACCCAGACAGAAGCAGACUACAGGGGGACACGGCUCUCGAGACCAGAAGACAAGACAAGACAAACGGUGAAGACGGUUAUGGAUGGAAUACUUCAGAAGACCGAACGACAGCAAACAAAAGAUACACUAAACUCAUGUAAUAGCUUUGGUGGCUCGGAAGAACAUCAAGACAGCUGCAGACAAUUUAUUCUAGCAGCAAGGACCCUCAGUGAUGACAGGGGACUACAAAAGGGGCACUCAUGAAUAAGAGAGUCUAUCUUAAUGUGUGUAGUAGAGAGUGCCUCUGAAGAUUAAUAACAACA